CCAGCGCAAGAUCUACAUCGGGAACGUCCCGGCCGACAUGCCGUCCGACCGCCUGCUCCAACAUUUCGCCAUGUACGGGGAGAUCGAGGAGGGACCGCUCGGGUACGACAAGCUGACCGGGAAGUUCCGAGGUUUUGCGCUCUUCGUGUACAAGACCGUGGAAGCGGCACAGGCUUCGCUUGUCGACCCGACGAAGAAUGUCGAUGGACAUCACUUGGUAUGUAAGCUCGCGAAUGACCCGAAAAAGGGGAAGCCCGGGGCUCUUCCGGGUCAGGCUGCUGUCACGGACAUUGGUGGUGGUGGUGACAGUAGAGUGGCUGGUACGCAGUCUUCACUGUAUGGCGGUCCAACUUUUCCAGGCUAUGGAGGAACUGCAAUUCCUGCAGCGGGUCUGAACCACCAUCAUGCUCUGAAUUCGUCAAUUGGCAUGGGUACUCCUGGCGUGUCAUCGUUAGGGGCUGGUGGCUAUGGAGGGGGGUUGCCUUCGGCUGGGAGUCAGGUGCCGUCGUUAGGGGCUGGUGGGUAUGGACGAGGCCAAGUCCCGCCUUUGGGGGCUGG
rnacentral:misc_RNA from 1 species